rnacentral:rRNA from 1 species
GAUGAACGCUAGCUGGAGGCUUAAUACAUGCAAGUCGAGCGGGAUUGGUAGCAAUACCAUGAGAGCGGCGCACGGGUGAGUAACGCGUACACGACCUACCUCUGACAGGGGGAUAGCCCUGGGAAACUGGGAUUAAUACCGCAUAUUAUUCUGAUUAAUAAAGGAUUGGAAUGAAAGUUCAGGCGGUCAGAGAUGGGUGUGCGUCUGAUUAGCUAGUUGGUGGGGUCACGGGCUACCAAGGCGAUGAUCAGUAGGGGGCGUGAGAGCGUGGUCCCCCACGCGGGUACUGGGACGCGGACCCGACUCCUACGGGAGGCAGCAGUAAGGAAUAUUGGACAAUGGCCGCAAGGCUGAUCCAGCCAUCCAGCGUGCAGGAAGAGGGCCCUAUGGGUUGUAAACUGCUUUUAUCAGGGAAGAAACCUCUUGAUUUACUCCGGAGCUGACGGUACCUGAAGAAUAAGCACCGGCUAACUCCGUGCCAGCCGCCGCCGUAA